rnacentral:tRNA from 1 species
UUGUUUAAAACCAAAAAGAGGUAAACCACUGUUAAUGGUUAAAUUAGAUUUUAUCUUAAACAAA